rnacentral:rRNA from 1 species
CCCUAUGGGGCGCAGCCGGGUUUCCUUGUUUAAACGCAUUUUGGUGAUGUAGUCCAGGUUCGGGCCGCGGUACCAGGAUUCGUCCGGGGAACUGAACCCCUGUUUCUUGGCUUGAAUGAUCUCUUGUGGCACAAUUUUCCGCAUGGCUUCCCGCAGCACGUUCUUGCCGUCGUCAUGCGCGGUGAAAUAGGCGUAUUUCUUGCCAUAAACGUUUUCGUCCUGGUACUUCCAGUCUUCCAGGUUCCUCAGCUUGUGCCGGAUGGGGAUGCUCUGGGCAAAAUUCACCAGGUCGUUGUCCAGGAACGGAAAGCGUUCGUCCAGGCUGGUGCCCAUGGCCAGCUUGUCGCCCAAAAGAAGCAGGCUGUGCAGAAACGUCUUGGAUUCGAAAUACAAGGAAUUGGCGGGAGAGC